AUGUUACGAGAUGAAGAAAUGGACUUCCGGUAAGCGGAAUCAGGUUGCGCUCCUCCAUUUUCGGCGGCUGCUUUCUUCUUAACGAGAGACGAAGAGCUCGUCAACGACAUGCUUCUCCUCGACGAUGAUCCUCCUCCUUGACUUGUCGGCAUCUGAACUCCACAGCAAUCAAAAUUAUCCAAAAUUAACUUUGAAUUUAAGAUUUCAAAAUUGAACAACCAAAAAUCGUAUAUUCACGUAAUGGAUAGUUUUCAACAGUCAAAUAAUGGAAGAAAGCUUUGUUAUUAAAAAUUGGAGCCAAAAGAAAAUGAAAUUAAAAAAAAGAGUGGAGUCAACGGCGGAGAAUAGGGUUUCCGGGAAGAAUAUUCCGGCGAGGAAAAGGAAGAGAUGGAGGGAAACCCUACGAAAUGGGAGAGGGAAAGAGAGGAUUAGCGUUUGAGCUCUGGGUUGAAGUGAAUAAUCUGUUGAGGACGCGUGUGCUGAGUGGACC
rnacentral:lncRNA from 1 species